UCCCUACGGGGUGAUUGUUGGGGAUCGAGCGGCGGACGGGUGAGUAACACGUGGGUAACCUACCUGCGAGAUCGGGAUAACCCCGGGAAACCGGGGCUAAUACCGAAUGAUCGUUGGAACCGCAUGGUUCCAACGUAAAAGGCGGCUUUUGCCGUCACUCGCAGAUGGACCCGCGGCGCAUUAGCUAGUUGGUAAGGUAACAGCUUACCAAGGCAACGAUGCGUAGCCGACCUGAGAGGGUGAUCGGCCACACUGGGACUGAGACACGGCCCAGACUCCUACGGGAGGCAGCAGUAGGGAAUCUUCCGCAAUGGACGAAAGUCUGACGGAGCAACGCCGCGUGAACGAUGAAGGUCUUCGGAUCGUAAAGUUCUGUUGUUAGGGAAGAACAAGUACCAGAGGAAAUGCUGGUACCUUGACGGUACCUAACCAGAAAGCCACGGCUAACUACGUGCCAGCAGCCGCGGUAAUACGUAGGUGGCAAGCGUUGUCCGGAAUUAUUGGGCGUAAAGCGCGCGCAGGCGGUUCCUUAAGUCUGAUGUGAAAGCCCACAGCUCAACUGUGGAGGGCCAUUGGAAACUGGGGAACUUGAGUACAGAAGAGGAGAGCGGAAUUCCACGUGUAGCGGUGAAAUGCGUAGAUAUGUGGAGGAACACCAGUGGCGAA
rnacentral:rRNA from 1 species